GACGAACGCUGGCGGCGUGCCUAAUACAUGCAAGUCGAGCGAGUCUGCCUUGAAGAUCGGAGUGCUUGCACUCUGUGACACAAGAUACAGGCUAGCGGCGGACGCGUGAGUAACACGUGGGUAACCUGCCCAAGAGAUCGGGAUAACACCUGGAAACAGAUGCUAAUACCGGAUAACAACAUAUGAUGCCUAUCAACUGUUUAAAAGAUGGUUCUGCUAUCACUCUUGGAUGGACCUGCGGUGCAUUAGCUAGUUGGUAGGGUAACGGCCUACCAAGGCGAUGAUGCAUAGCCGAGUUGAGAGACUGAUCGGCCACAUUGGGACUGGAACACGGCCCAAACUCCGAAGGGAGGCAGCAGUAGGGGAUAUUCGACAAUGGACGCAAGUCUGAUGGGGCAACGCCGCGUGAGUGAAGAAGGGUUUCGGCUCGUAAAGCUCUGUUGUUGGUGAAGAAGGACAGGGGUAGUAACUGACCUUUGUUUGACGGUAAUCAAUUAGAAAGUCACGGCUAACUACGUG
rnacentral:rRNA from 1 species